GACGAACGCUGGCGGCGUGCUUAACACAUGCAAGUCGAACGGAAAGGCCCAGCUUGCUGGGUGCUCGAGUGGCGAACGGGUGAGUAACACGUGGGUGAUCUGCCUCUAACUUCGGGAUAAGCUUGGGAAACUGGGUCUAAUACCGGAUAGGACAAUCGUUUAGUGUCGGUUGUGGAAAGUUUUUUCGGUUAGGGAUGAGCCCGCGGCCUAUCAGCUUGUUGGUGGGGUAAUGGCCUACCAAGGCGUCGACGGGUAGCCGGCCUGAGAGGGUGGACGGCCACAUUGGGACUGAGAUACGGCCCAGACUCCUACGGGAGGCAGCAGUGGGGAAUAUUGCACAAUGGGCGCAAGCCUGAUGCAGCGACGCCGCGUGGGGGAUGACGGCCUUCGGGUUGUAAACCUCUUUCGACAGGGACGAAGCGUUGGUGACGGUACCUGUAGAAGAAGCACCGGCUAACUACGUG
rnacentral:rRNA from 1 species